rnacentral:rRNA from 1 species
CCUACGGGUGGCAGCAGUGAGGAAUAUUGGUCAAUGGGCGGGAGCCUGAACCAGCCAAGUCGCGUGAAGGAAGAAUGUCCUUUGUAUUGUAAACUUCUUUUGUCGGGGAACAAAGUCGGAGACGCGUCUCCUUAUGUGUGUACCCUAAGAAAAAGCAUCGGCUAACUCUGUGCCAGCAGCCGCGGUAAUACGGAGGAUGCGAGCGUUAUCCGGAUUUAUUGGGUUUAAAGGGUGCGCAGGCGGGAGAUCAAGUCAGCGGUAAAAUGUCGGGGCUCAACCCAGGCCGGCAGUUGAAACUGGUAGUCUAGAGUUGGAGAGAGGUAGGCGGAAUUCGUGGUGUAGCGGUGAAAUGCAUAGAUAUCACGAAGAACUCCGAUUGCGAAGGCAGCAUACCGGAUCGAUACUGACGCUGAGGCACGAAAGCGUGGGGAUCGAACAGGAUUAGAUACCCUUGUAGUC